GAUGAACGCUGGCGGCGUGCCUAAUACAUGCAAGUCGAGCGAAUGGAUUAAGAGCUUGCUCUUAUGAAGUUAGCGGCGGACGGGUGAGUAACACGUGGGUAGCCUGCCCAUAAGACUGGGAUAACUCCGGGAAACCGGGGCUAAUACCGGAUAACAUUUUGAACCGCAUGGUUCGAAAUUGAAAGGCGGCUUCGGCUGUCACUUAUGGAUGGACCCGGGUCGCAUUAGCUAGUUGGUGAGGUAACGGCUCACCAAGGCAACGAUGCGUAGCCGACCUGAGAGGGUGAUCGGCCACACUGGGACUGAGACACGGCCCAGACUCCUACGGGAGGCAGCAGUAGGGAAUCUUCCGCAAUGGACGAAAGUCUGACGGAGCAACGCCGCGUGAGUGAUGAAGGCUUUCAGGUCGUAAAACUCUGUUGUUAGGGAAGAACAAGUGCUAGUUGAAUAAGCUGGCACCUUGACGGUACCUAACCAGAAAGCCACGGCUAACUACGUGCCAGCCGCCGCAGUAA
rnacentral:rRNA from 1 species